rnacentral:rRNA from 2 species
UUUCCGUAGGUGAACCCGCGGAAGGAUCAUUA